UACGUAGGGUGCAAGCGUUGUCCGGAAUUAUUGGGCGUAAAGAGCUCGUAGGCGGUCUGUCGCGUCGGCUGUGAAAACCCGGGGCUCAACCCCGGGCCUGCAAUCGAUACGGGCAGAUUAGAGUGCGGUAGGGGAGACUGGAAUCCCUGGUGUAGCGGUGAAAUGCGCAGAUAUCAGGAGGAACACCGGUGGCGAAGGCGGGUCUCUGGGCCGAUACUGACGCUGAGGAGCGAAAGCAUGGGUAGCGAACAGG
rnacentral:rRNA from 1 species